UGUUUGUGCUCGUAGAUCCAGGUCCUUCACUUGGUGGAAUCUGGGAGUUGUAAAACUCCACCAUGUUUUGCUCCAAGUUUACCGGCUCAUAGAGACAAGGCAGAGAUCAAGUGCAUGGGCCCUGUUGGUGGAAAACACCAACAGAACCAAAAGUGUAUUUGUUCUUCUCUAACCUUAAGCAUAGUGAGCAAGACAAAGUUGAUGGAUAAUA
rnacentral:lncRNA from 1 species